rnacentral:lncRNA from 1 species
UCAGUUGUGAACCAAUUUUCAUAGAACCGUAGAACCACUUUGGUUGGAAGAGACCUUUAAGGUCAUCAAGUCCAGCUGUUAACCCAGCACUGCCACGUUACCACUAAAACCACAUCAGGCUAUUCCCUAUAUGACUUGGGCUUCUCUUUACCUACAGCUGCACCAGCGCUUCCCAUUCACCUUGCAGGAGAAGCCAAAACUCGAUGGCAACAACGUGGAGCAGGGUGAGGUGGACACAUGUGAGAAGGUGGAGGAGAAGUUAUACAAGCAGAUGGGUGCAAAAGAUUUGGAGGCUCUCCAAGUGUCUGGUUGGGUCCAGAGACGCAGCAGAAGAGCACAGGGAAGUCAGCAAGUUGUGUGUGUUACUGGCCACACAGCAGUCUCCACCCUUUGAAUUCCAGUGUUUGAUGGUGUCACAGAGAGUAGUACAAGCCCUGCACGCAGAGUCACAGUUCCACUGCAAACCAAGAGAAGGCAACACGAGAAAAUACUCAAGAGCUGGCCAAACUCUGAACUGUCUGAAGCUGCUGACUAUGCUUCACUGA